rnacentral:rRNA from 1 species
AAAUGAAUAGACGGGGGCCCGCACAAGCGGUGGAGCAUGUGGUUUAAUUCGAAGCUACGCGAAGAACCUUACCAGGUCUUGACAUCCUCUGCUACUUUUAGAGAUAAAAGGUUCCCCUUCGGGGGACAGAGUGACAGGUGGUGCAUGGUUGUCGUCAGCUCGUGUCGUGAGAUGUUGGGUUAAGUCCCGCAACGAGCGCAACCCUUAGUUUUAGUUGCCAGCACGUAAAGGUGGGCACUCUAGAGCGACUGCCGGUGACAAACCGGAGGAAGGUUGGGAUGACGUCAAAUCAUCAUGCCCCUUAUGACCUGGGCUACACACGUGCUACAAUGGAUGGUACAACGGGGAGCGAAGCCGUGAGGCGGAGCAAAUCUCAGAAAACCAUUCUCAGUUCGGAUUGCAGGCUGCAACUCGCCUGCAUGAAGUCGGAAUCGCUAGUAAUCGCGGAUCAGCAUGCCGCGGUGAAUUCGUUCCCGGGCCUUGUACACACCGCCCGU